rnacentral:rRNA from 1 species
UACGUAGGGGGCGAGCGUUGUCCGGAAUCAUUGGGCGUAAAGAGCGUGUAGGCGGACUGGAAGGUCUGGUGUGAAAGCCCGGGGCUCAACCCCGGAGGGUCACUGGAAACCAACAGUCUUGAAUCUGGAAGAGGAGAGUGGAAUUCCUGGUGUAGCGGUGGAAUGCGCAGAUAUCAGGAGGAACACCGAUGGCGAAGGCAGCUCUCUGGUACAUGAUUGACGCUGAGACGCGAAAGCGUGGGGAGCAAACAGG